UACGUAGGGGGCAAGCGUUGUCCGGAAUCAUUGGGCGUAAAGAGCGCGUAGGCGGUCCGGUAAGUCAGCUGUGAAAGUCAAGGGCUCAACCCUUGAAAGCCGGUUGAUACUGUCGGGCUAGAGUCCGGAAGAGGCGAGUGGAAUUCCCGGUGUAGCGGUGAAAUGCGCAGAUAUCAGGAGGAACACCAAUGGCGAAGGCAGCACUCUGGGACGUGACUGACGCUGAGACGCGAAAGCGUGGGGAGCAAACAGG
rnacentral:rRNA from 1 species